CCUACGGGCGGCAGCAGUGGGGAAUAUUGGGCAAUGGGCGCAAGCCUGACCCAGCAACGCCGCGUGAAGGAAGAAGGCUUUCGGGUUGUAAACUUCUUUUCUCAGGGACGAAGAAAGUGACGGUACCUGAGGAAUAAGCCACGGCUAACUUCGUGACAGCAGCCGCGGUAAUAAGUAGGUGGCAAGCGUUAUACGGAUUUACUGGGUGUAAAGGGCGUGUAGGCGGGACUGCAAGUCAGAUGUGAAAACCACGGGCUCAACCUGUGGCCUGCUUUUGAAACUGUAGUUCUUGAGUACUGGAGAGGCAGACGGAAUUCCUAGUGUAGCGGUGAAAUGCGUAGAUAUUAGGAGGAACACCAGUGGCGAAAGCGGUCUGCUGGAUAGCAACUGACGCUGAGGCGCGAAAGCGUGGGGAGCAAACAGGAUUAGAUACCCUGGUAGUC
rnacentral:rRNA from 1 species